ensembl:lncRNA
GUAACACAUGCUCUCUACGUGUGUCUCUUCCUUUCCUUUCUCUCUGGUUCCAAGACCUUCGCUCGCUCGUGGGGUGGCUCGGAGUGGUUUUCUCCUCGCGGUUGCAGAUUCUCCUCAGCUUCUAAUCAGAAUUGGAAGCGAGUCGUCGCAAACGAUCACCUUGGAAAUAUUUUCAUUUUGCUUGUUGACAUUGGAGGGAAAAUAAGAGUGGGCGUCUAUUUCUUUCCUUUUUUAAAAAAACCUGCCUAUAUGCAUUCCCUCUUCAUUCCUUCCAUUUCUCAAACGCUUUAUUAUGCAAGGACCUCAAUCCUAAAAUAUCAGUAAGCCAAAGUCAGCCCUUGCCCACCCUGCGUUCAGUGGUGCGCGAAGGCACGGAGGAGCCUUGGUAACAUGGAUCAUGGAUCGUGCAAUCCCAGCUUCCUGGGUAUUGGGACUGGGAAGGUUCAGUAGAAGGUUGAAGUGAGUGGGAAGAUUGUGAUUCGGGGGCUUUAAAAGGAUCCCGUGGCCAGGGGCAGGGCUAAGGCCCAGCAUUUCCCAGGGAUUGGAAUUUAGUGCGGAGCACACUGAUCAAAGGCUGUUUCAUCCCACAUGGGCAGGAAACAUACUACAUUUUACGGAGGAUGUAGCUCAAGAGAAGUAGGAGGUGGAGAAGCAUACAUGAAAAGCACCUUUUCUCUCCUCUGUAAGGCGCGCAGAGAGAGAAGGCGGCGUUCAGGGAGAGCGCUCCAUCGGCGAGUUUGGCUCCGCAGCGUCCGAACUCUGAAUCACCGCGGUGAAGAGGAAAUUCUAUGUCUGGACCAUAAAAUAAACGGUGUGUUGGAGAGGCUGGGUUUUAAGGAUGUCUGGAUUUACACAUGAAACAUUAUUUUCCUAAUUAAAACUGAUGGUGUGGUUUGUGGAGAUCAAUUAGCACUGGAUUUUGCUCCAGGAUUGCUCCCCGGGGCGAACAAAUGAAGCCAACUCCUCUCCAGCGAGUUUUUUCCGCCCAUGAGUGUAUCCAAGCCAGGACUGCUGAAGCAGUUCGAAAUCCCCAGCCUUGGUUUCAUUUGAUUUUGUUGUUGCUGUUAUUGAUAAAUAUUGGGUCAUACACAAGCCACUUGUCAGAGCCUUUGGCUUCAUCUCGCAGCUGCAGCUCCUAACGAGGCAUUUGAGUCGUGUCCUAGAAACUGGAAGGAUUCGAGGGGAAAGCAAAGACACGCUCUCUGCCCCUUAAAUUUUGGAGAUGGUCCCUUAAGAUUCUAGUCCUGUCUGCUGUCACGUUUAUUUCUUAAUUUGUUCCAAUACGUGAACCCUGGGUAGAUAUGUGUAACCCCCUUAAAAAAGACUAAAAAGAUCUUUAAAAAAAGAAGAGGAGACUCUUGAUCCCAGUCCUCUAGGUUUAUGUGAAACCAAAGGAGCACAUAGAUAGACAGAUAAUUGUUGUAAUUGCAGGGGGUGAGGGUGAGGUUGUAGGUAGGGCGUUUGGGGGUUGUGUAAUCGGAGUAAUAUGUACAGUUUUUCUUUCGGCGGCGCUGUAUAUAUUCUUUCCCUUGAUACAUGUUGCACAUGAACUGAACUCAUGGUCUGCUUGUCUUAGCAUGUUUGAAGCCCCAGACAUCUAACAGUAUCAUUACAGGAAAGAGACAAAGCCCCAAAGACUCCAGGCUGCCUUGGGAGUUCAUCUCGGCGUUGAACUUUUCCGGCCAGUUCACCCGCACGUUCAGACUCCCUUGCUGCGCAGAGUGCAGGUCUUCCCCGGGCUGAAGCGGGGGUGUGGGGGAAGAAACAGCUGAUUUUCGACAUUUCACAGGGACUCUUUCUAUUUAUCAGUGUUACCGAAGUGUACGUUACUGGAAAAACAACAAAACAAGCAUAGAGCUGCAAUUUUCCAGAAAAUAGGAUCCCCAAAUAUAAAAAUAAAAAGUAGCAGAUAAGAUGUAUAAUUCAAUCAAAUUACACAAAAUUGCUUGAAAAUCCAGAACAGUAGCAAUCCAUUAUGCCUCUGUUUUAUUAGUGACAAGCACAAUUACUCUAAAAUAAAGAACACUGGUGAAUAUAUAAUUGGCUGUAAUCAUGUUAGUGUUUGAAUAAAAAUGACGGGAACAUUUAACACUUUGACAACAAAAUGUUCAGAAAUAACUUAUUUAUUCAAACAGUUUUUAUUUUCCUCCAAGUGAAGGAGAAACACAGUUUGCUUAGGAAAAUCAAUGACUUUUCCCUUCAAUAAAUAAAUAUCCAAAAGGGGAAAAAACAGCCCCACACCUCUAUAUUAUCGCUAUUAUUAUUUUUAACCAGCAAGAAGCUUAAUCCUGGGCUUGAAGUCAGCUUCUCCCAGCGGCGGUUCGGCACCAAAGUCUGCCCCCUAGAGGAGGAACUCGGAAGCUCAUCACGGCGCCAACCCCUUUUCCCGCGGUGACCUCGGGAAUUAAAGUUAAUAUUCCUUUGCAAAUUGCUCUCCAAACUGACUCCCCCACCUCACCCCCUCAUAUCCCCUUCCGCCCUACAACAGCGUCACAAUAUUUUCUUAGUAAUUGCUGUGCGCUGCUGACAAAAGCGCCGAGUCUCCGGUAGCGCGUUGCUCCGCCUGGAAAGCGCGAGGGCGCCCUGGGGAAGCCGGCCAGGGGAGUCCCGGUCCUGCGGACCAUCCCCGCUCAUCCGCUGCGCUCCAGGGCAGCCUGAAGUCGGUUCCCGGAGUGACGGCCGGCGACUCGGACACCGCGUUCCUGUGCUGCCUUUUGCGGGCUUCCUUAGAGAAAACAGUCCUGGUACGGCUGCCGGGCAGUCAGUACCUUAAGGGCUUUCCCUAGCGCACAUCUCCCCCAAGAAAAAGCCAUUAUCUAAUUAGAUCCCGGAGCCCAGUGGUUCCCUUCAUUGUCCCAGAUGGGUAUGCUGGAAAUACUGACUUAAAGAUAUUAAGGAGGAGGCCCUGCUUGCUCAAGCUCCCUGCCCCCAGGAGAGACCCAUCCGGAAGAAAUCCCUGAUUUUCACACUGGGUCCUGGAGUGCCUAGAAACUUCGGCGGGGCGCGUAGUCCCGGGACCCGAGGGACUAGGAACCUUUUCGCAUUGUAGUUCUGGUGGACCCCAUCGGUCCUUUAGGCAGAGGAAAGCCAACCUCACUUACUGAAACCAGCGCUGGGAGAUGGUGAAUGUGGCCACGGAAAGAGAAAUAACUGCUUCUGUGAGCUCCAGGCUCCCUUCAGACCCCUUCUCAGAUGGACCCAGAGCCCCGCCAGUUCCCAGGUCGUCCUCCCUGCCCCGCUUGAUCAGAAUUUUAUUUUAUUUGUUUAAAGGUAGAAGAACACAGUUCAAGUUGAAGUUCUGUUAGAAAGGCCAGGAAAGAGCAAGCGAAUUGAAGUCGCCGUGGAAAAGGCGAUGUGUGAAAUCAUCAGACUUAAAUUGGCUUUUAAUUCUUCUGUGUGGGUGUGUUUUGCCCCCCGAACCCCUCUCUCAGCUCUUCCCUUCUCUCCUCUUCUUUCCGUCCUUCCUCCUUUCUUUCCUUCCUUCCUUCGUUUUCUUCGACUUCUAAGUCCUCCUGCCCCGCAGCUUCCUAAGUGCAAGCAAAAGGAAAUAGUGGGUGUGCUGGAAGCCACCGUUGGUACCCAGAGUCUCUUGGACACCCUGUCCUGGCCCCUUGGUAGUCUCCUCGGUGGUGGAGUUGGAAUGAAACACCUGGGAGCUGUUUCUUCUUCCCCUCCCUCUCGAAGAGGACGUCUGGAUCGUGGACCGAGGAGCUAUUUCCCACGCCCAGCUUGUGAGAUCACUUCAGGAUUCCCUCCUGGCCACUUCUGUGAUGUUCUCAGCCCCAGCCUUCUGAAGAAAACUCCAUUGGGUUUACUUUUCUGUUGGUAGGGAACUGGGUAGGGGACACUGUCUACACUGGAGUGCUGGUGUGCGUUGUGUACAUUUCUCCAGCUUCAAAAACUUUCUAAUGGAGACUUGGGCCUCUUGGCCUUUCCCCCAUAGGAGGGAUGCUCUGGAGGAAGCACUAACUGGAACUUAGAUGGCAGCCUUUUGUCAGGCCUUCCUACUCCCUCAAAAGGGACAAUCUUUGAAAAAAAAUGAAUUGUACUCGAAACAUCAUUGUUAGUGAUCGUGGAAGCCCACAUUUUGGAGUUGGAGGGAAUCUAAGAUAUCAUGUAAUUCAGCACCUCUGGAGAAAUAUCUGAAUCAAAGCGUCCUGGAAACUGACUACAGAUAAGAAAACUGAAGCCAUGAUCUAAAUCACCUGAGCAAGGUCAUAUACCCGCUGAAGAAAAGGCAAGAAGACAGGAAACUGCUGGCUAAGAAAAAGAAUGUUCAAGAAAACUCACAGUGCAAGCUUUCACAGAAACCUUCACAGAGCUCACCAAUCUUUUUAAAAUUUGAAAAUAUGAAUCAUCAUGCCAAAACAUUUAAUAGGGAGAAAUGCAUAUGGUGCAUUAUCUGCUUACAAGCAAAUCUGUGAUGAGAAAAGAAACAAACCAAACAAGACACCAUAGGUACAUUUUUGAAAAUAGUGACACCUGUUGAAGAAGAGCUUCAGGCAAAUCCUUCCUCAAGAUUUCCAGAGGAAGGCGCUGUCAUUCCAGUAGGUGACAGCUCCAUGUGUGCUACUGCCACUGAAGACCUUCCAGUGGGACACAGCGAGGAUGGAUAAGACAGUGACACUGAUAAUCCUGACCCUCUGAAGGUCCAGCUAGGAGGUGUCUUUCUAUCUCAGUUUAUAACAAAACAAUUUAAAAAUAAACAAAAACUUUAAAAUAACAACAUAAACCAAAAAGUUUUGGAUAGCUAUUGAAUGUGUUUGCACUUUAGACUAAAUGUUCUUUUAAAAGCCAAGUUGUUAAAAAUGUUAAAAAGCUUAUAAGUAAAAAGAUUACAGUAAGCUAUGGUUAUUAAAAAAUUAAUUGAGCAUAGCCAUGUUACGAUGAUUGUGAAGUCUACAGUAAUGUGCAGUAAGACCCUCAGCCUUUGUGUUCACCCAAACCCUCUGCCUGGUUCAUCCAAAGCAACUGCCAGUCUUUCAAGCUCUGUUUAUAGUAAGUGCCCUAAAUAGGUGUUAUGUACCAUGUUUUUACUGUGCCUGUUGUAUGUUUAGAUACACAAAUACCAUUGCAUUACAAUUAACUACGCUAUUCAGUAGGGUAACAUGCCGUACAGUUUUAUAGCUUAGAAGACAUAGGCAAACCAUACAGUCUAGGCUUUGUCAUCUAGGUUUAUUAUAGGGGUCAUACAGUGAAAAAGUCCCUUGGGGUUGCAUUUUUCAGAAUGAAUCUAUAUCCUUAAGUGAUAGCACAUGCCUAAAUACUCUUUCAAAGAGGUAAGCUAUGACUUCGUGAAAUAAAUACAACUUGGAGAUAUAUAGGCAUGUUAGAUUUUAAAGUAACUCAUAAAGUUACAUUUGUGCUUCCUCAAACUGUUCAAAAUGGUAAUUUUAAACCUAUGGAUAUCCUAGACAGCCUCCUAAAUGCACAAGGACUGAUAAAAAUAUGAUGAAUGUUUAAAUUUUUAAAAAAAUUCUUACAGUAAAAGAACAAUGCUGUUAAUCUCUCUGAACACUUCCCACCUUUGAACACACUUAUCCCAUCAUUCUUGCCAAGUUCUGAAACAAAUCUGGAAGUCCUCUUUUGUGAAUACCUCUACAAGUGUUCAUUAACAAAAUAGGUUGAAUGCUGCUGCUGAGUGUCAUCCAGCAGAAAGGCCGACUUGUAAAAACACAAGGGUGUGUUCUCAUUCACUAGAUAUGGUAUCAUCUGACCUCUGGCUAUUUUAACUUUUUCCCAACAUCAAAAUGAUAAGGAAAGGUGAGCAUAUGAAUCAGUUCAGGACACUGAGGCCUCAUGAUAUGCAACUAAAGACACUCACAAAAGAGGACUGCAGGAACUGCUUCAGAACUUGAGAAUAAAAACUGAAUAAAUGUGUUGGAAGAAAGAGGGAGUAUUUUGAGGGAGAUUAAUGGCAAUGUGUCCUUUAUGUAAUACAGUUAAAAUUUUAAACUUUCACCUUAUCUUUUGAACAGACUUCAUAGUUUAUAAAAAGAGGUCUUUUUGAAACUUCUUUCAUAAGCCCUAUAACUCAUUUUCACUCCCAAUUGCUUUAUGGGGCAGUAGUAGAGUAUUUCUUCUACAGUCUUUGUCUGAGGUUUUAUCUUUUCUCACAUUUACUUUACUUGUGCUGAGUCAUUUCUUGGGAUCACAGAGUGAGAAAGGCUUUAAAAGCUAUCUGGCUUUGAAAUAGCUCAUCACAGAUUUAAAGAUUUUGCAAAAUGACUCCUAAUUAAUACCUGAAAACAUAUGCAUACUUCAGUAGCUGAAAAGCCUCAGGACCAGUAUUUGGUAGAAAGGUCUCGAACAUUAGAAGGCCCAAAUCCUAGGACUUCAUUCUACUGUUCAGUAACUGAUAUUGAACUUUCCAUUCCAGCAUCUCUCAUGUUCCUUCUAUCUCAAAUACAGUUUAGAUAGGGCACAGAGCCAUGUGCCUAUUGUCCCACCUGCUCAGGAGGCUGAACAAGGACAAUCAGUUGAGCCCAGGAGUUUGAGAACAGCCAGUGCAAUAUAGUGGUAAAUCAUUUAAAACUGCAGUUCAAUACAGUUGUCAGGUCUAGUUCUAAACUUUAUUCUCAAGAAAAAGUGAAAUGUAAAUGAUGGAAGCUUAUAACUAGCAAAUGUAAGGUUCUAAUUUUAUUUCUGAAUUUGAUUUAUGUUGGGACUUUGAACACACAUGAACUCUCCAAAAGAUGACCAUAUUUAUUGUCACCGACUCCUCCACUAAUUUUAAAUUCCAUAUAUUCUUCAAGGGUGAUGAAUUAAUUUUUAAUAUUAUACUGCUCUUUAAAUAUUCACAAUAAAUUUACCAGAACAUGUUUUCAACUUAAAAAUUGUACCUACAUGAUACAGUGUCUAAAACUUUUCAUGCAUUUUAAUAAAAAUGAGUCAUAUGGUUUUUUAUUAGGUUUUGCUAUAAAUCCACACAUCAACUUGAAAGACAUAGUUCUAAUGCAGCAGCUGCACAUUUUCUUCACAGUUUAUUGUAAUGUCAUUAGUCAUUGUUAGUUCUAUUAGUCAGAAGUUUCACAUCUAUAAUGAGACUCACUUGUGGUAGUCAGUUUUGGUAAUUAUUUUUUUUAAAUGUUGACACACAAUUUAGUGUGUUGAAAUUCAGCUUUAUUCACAGAUAUUUCUUUCUGUUCUCUUGCAAAUCAACAUGGUAGUUUCAAAAUAACAGUGCCUUUCUACAUUUUAAGCCUUUUAGAUGUGUCAUCAUAUUAAUUUUUUGCCCUUUAUUAUUUCCAUUAAUUAAUUUUGCCCUUUAACUUUUACUGAUCAAUGUGGACUAAUUUGUAAUCUCAACAUUUCUAUGAAAUAAUACAAAAUUAAGACUGAUCAUGUCAUGCUGUGAGUUAGUGAGGGAUAUUAACAUUAUGAACACAGUAUGUUGAUUUAAAACCAGAAAGAUUUCAAACCAGUGUUUGAUUUAUGCUUAAACUCAAAUUAUGAAGAAUUUUGAAUAUUACAUUAUGGUUCAAAUUUCCUUACUUAGUACAUUUUUGGUGGUUUGAAAAUGAUGGAGCUUUACAUUAUACCACUCUACUAUUAUUAGGAAGUUAAAAUAUGCAAUGAGGUAAGGAAGGUAUUAAAUAUGUCAUUCAGUCUAUAUUAAUUUAUAUAAAUGGAAGACUUACUAAUUUUAAUAUAGAUUGGCUAUAUGGUUGGUUAUUCACUCAUCAAUUGAAUAUAUAAUUAUUAACCACUUUGCACCAGAUACUGUACCAGGUGAGAAGAGUAAACUGAUUCAUAAAAUUUAGACUCUACUCCAUUGGUACUGAAUUCAUCAGAAGAGAUGAACACAGUCAUUCAUGUAUCAUAAGUCAGAGACUUUCAGAGGCAUGGCUGGGUACUGUGGAAGUACAGAGAAAAGCUCCUCUUGUCAGAUUUUGAAAAAGCUUUCCUGGAAGAUAUGUCAUUUUAGCUCUGUCUUCAAAGACUGUUUAAAAAACUAAUUUAAUACAUGGAAAUGUAACAAUCAAAUUGCAUAAAAGAGCUAGUGAUAAAAUUAACAGAAGCAUUUCUCUUCAACAGCAGUCUUGCUUCCUGGAGGACAAUUGUCUUAAAUAUUUUUUUUUUUUUUUUUUGGUACCUAGGAUCGAACUUGGGUCCUUGUGCUUGCGCAGCAGGCAGCAAAACCACUGAGCUAAAUCCCCGGCCCUUAAAUAUUUUUGUUUGUAUCAUUUUGGUCCUUCCACCAUAAUAUCUCACUAUGUGAUUGUACUAUCUUUGAAUGUCCUAGUGUUGUUUAUCAUUGUAUUAGUUCAACAGGUUACUUUUGUUACUCUAAACAUAUCCUGAUAUGUUAUUAUGGUAUGAGCUUACCAUCUGUACAUUUUUCCACCUUGUAACUCCGUGAUGUUUUACCACUUGUCAAGUAUGUUAAUAUUUUUAUUUUGUUAAUGCUAUUACCAUUUGUAAUUUGAUAUGAAACAGCACUCAAAUCCUUUAUUCUUUCUC